AGUAGCAGCUGGACUAUAUGGAGGUGGGACUUCUUCAGGCAAAUUUUCAGAAACGGUAGUAGUUGUAUUCGGGUGUGCCAUUACAUGUGUAUACCGAACAGAGCCACGACGAGGUGAGCCAAUUGGAGAUGUAUAUACAGUUGCAGGAACGUAUGCAGACUGGGGAGAUGUAGGUGAACGGCGAGGAACUGCUGUUGCGCCAGGCCUA